rnacentral:rRNA from 1 species
UACGUAGGGGGCGAGCGUUGUCCGGAGUACUGGGCGUAAAGCGCACGCAGGCGGUCUGCUAAGUUUGGAGUGACAGUUGAUGGCUCAACCAUCAAAGUGCUUCGAAAAUUGACAGACUUGAGGGCUUCAGAGGGACACGGAAUUCCGGGUGGAGUGGUGAAAUGCGCAGAUAUCAGGAGGAACACCCGUGGCGAAAGCGGCUCUCUGGGACGGUACUGACGCUGAGACGCGAAAGCGUGGGGAGCAAACAGG